ACACGGUUUUAUUUAUAUAGUUGGGAAAGUUUAUAGUAUAAUGUCAGUGAUCCCAUUCGUACAAUAAUUAUCGUACGCGUCACAUAAUUUGAAGCAUUGUACGAUCCAAAAUUUAACUUGUACGAUCCAAAAUUCAGCUUGUAUGUAAUUAACGAUAACUCGAAAUUUCGAUAAGUCUUGAUUUUGAUUUUGUUUCGCGAUUUGGUUGUCGGUUGUAGCGCACCCUACCGUACACGGUUAUCAAGUUUGAAAAAGUUGGUACUUUUACUCUUUUUGCAGAUUUGAAAAUCAAAAAGUUAUACAAUUUCUAAAUCUAAAAACUAAUUAAGAAUUAAGAAUAUCAGGAGUGUCAAAUCGAAAAUUCCUAAAAUUCCAAAUUUUUGCCUGUGGGUACGAUAAUUUUUCUGUGUGUACGAUAAUUUUACGGCCCUGUGUCGAUCAGACAAGCUAAAGUCCCUGGGAUCACUGAUCACUGGGGAUCACUGCUCCCAUAAGAGAUGUUACUCCUUACUUUAUUAUUACACGUAAAUACGAACUGGUUAACCUAGUUCGUGAAUGUAAAAAUAAAUUAAAUUAAAUAUACUAAUAUUAAUUUAUUUUUUUUAGAAUUAUUUUUAUUAAAAAAUGGGGAAAUGUUGUGCCGUUUCUGGUUGCCUUAGUGGCCGAAAGGCAAGUGAAAAUUUAGGAAAAGUGGCUUUAUUCAAAGCACCAAAAGAUGUUAAAAUGCUCAGUAAAUGGAGCUCUGCUCUGGGUAAAGAAUUAAAAAAUACCAGUUUCGUUUGUGAAUUACAUUUUAAUCCAAAAGAUGUGAUUAAAAGUAAUCAAGAGAUUCUAAAAGAUGGUAGUAUAUAUAUUUAUGAAUACGACAAAGUUCAUUUGAAGAAGAAUGCUAUACCAAAAUCUAAUGCUACUAACAAUGCUAAUAACGAUGAAAAUAAUUCCAGCUUAUUAUCAAAUGAUGUUCGUCCAAAUUCCUCUGAUAUAAUUAACGAUAAUGUAAUUGGUGACUGUAAUUUAAAUUCUAUUGAGCCUAUUAAUAUAAUAAUCGUAAAUGAAAUGAUAAAAGAAGUAAUUGAACCUGAUAAUAAAAAUUCUGAAAACGCAAAUCUUCCUGAUAAUACAAAUAAUGUGAUUAAUAGUGAUAAUUUGCUGAUCAAAAAUAAUCCUGAAGAGUUUUCUUUAUAUUCCAUAGAAACAAUUUUAGAAACUCAACCACUACGUAAAAAUUGGAGUUGGACAGUCAUUAAAGAUUCAUAUAUUUUAUUAUCGUAUAUAAAUUUGAUAUUGGAAUUAGUUUGUCACGUGAAAAUUUAUAAAAAUCUAAAAGUUACGAUCGAAAAUGCCAAAACGAAUAUCCUUAUUGAUAAGAAUGUAAAUAUUUCAUCAAUUGAUUGUGUUUGGCAGUUAUUAAGCUCUUUAGAAAACAGCUUUUUCUGCAGUGGAACUGGAUACGAUGAGAAAAAAUGUUCGCUACUUUGUACUGGUGUAUUAUUGGCAGAUGAAAGGUAUAAAAAACAAAUGAAGGAGUACAGGUGCAUUAAUUGCCGAAAAUUGAGGCAUUUGAUACAAAGGCGUAAGAAUAAGACAAUCGAUUAUAAAGCACGAUGGAUUAAUGUCAAAAAUCACUUAAUUUUAGAGCUCCGAAAGUUAAAUCGAGUUCUUCAGCAGAAUGUACUUGGAUAAAAAAGUUAAUUUGACCUAAGAGCCAAAAUUUUGAACCCAAGAAUACCAAGCAAGAAUAGACCAAAUUUUGUCUAUUGAGUCAAUUUAACUUUUUAUCAGUAUACAAGGACUGUGACAUCAAUUUUAAAGAGUUUAAAGUAACCGGAAAUUGAAUUUUUCUGUACUUUGUAAUUUCCGAGUCACUGUAAUAAUAAAAGUUUAAAGGAAGAAUUAUUAAAAUUACAAAAGCAAUGUGCUGAAAUUAAAGGAGAAAUAUUGUCUGAGAAAAUUGCCGAUUU